GGCUCGGUAGCCAAGUGGUAAGGCAUGGGUUUGCAAAACCUAUAUACGCGGGUUCGAUUCCCGCCCGAGCCU
rnacentral:tRNA from 1 species